AGCAGGGUUUAGGGAGCCGGGAGCGCUCCCCCUGCUCAGAGUGCCGGUCGCUCGUCUUGCCUGUUGGGGCCAAGGGCACUUAGGAGCAGGGGAAGGACUCCGACUCGUCUCCCUGAGCAGCAGCAGAAACAACCUGUGAUGACCUGACCGCGACCCCCAUUCAGGGGAAACUGAGGCACGGACAAACAAAACACACCCCACAGCCCCUGCUUAUGUCACCUGGAGAGUCCUGGGGGGGGGGGAAACUGAGGCAUAGACCUCCUUCACACACACAACCCCCCUCACCUCACCUGGGAGCAAGAAAAUGAGGCACGAACCCCCAUACACACAUAACUCCUCUCGCAUCACCUGGUUGUUCCCAUACAGGAUGUCCCCCACACAGUGCCCAAGGCACUGGUGAAGUGCCUGAGCUGCUUCCAGUCAGAGCCGUUCAGGAAGUGACAGUCGGCUUUUCCCAGAAACUGAAACACCCCUCUGUUGUCCAGGGGAACCCCCGCCUCCUCCAGGAGCCCCCACCAUCCCGCAGCAGGUUGGGAGCUCAGGGUGGGCAAGGCAAGGCAAGGGAGUGAUAGGCAAGGCAAGGAAUGGCAAGGAAGAAGUGGACAGUCAAGGCGAGUUUAGGGUAAUCAAGGCAAUGUAUGUCAGGGGAUAGGCAGGGCAAGGCAAGGCAGGGGACUGGUUUGCAAGGCAAUUCAAGGCAAGGGGAGGGAGCGGAAGGCAAGGCAAGUCAUGAGAGGGGCAGCACCUUCCCUGCCCUGCACUAGAAAAGGUGGGAGCCAUGUUGUGUUGAUGCAUUCCAGUAAAACCUUUUCACCUGGAUGCCAGAA